GCCGAGAUGGCGGAAUUGGUAGACGCGCAAGUUUCAGGUACUUGUGGAGGCAACUCUGUGGAGGUUCGAGUCCUCUUCUCGGCA
rnacentral:tRNA from 1 species